AGUGAACGCUGGCGGUAGGCCUAACACAUGCCAGUCGAACGGCAGCACAGUAAGAGCUUGCUCUUACGGGUGGCGAGUGGCGGACGGGUGAGGAAUGCAUCGGAUUCUACUUUUUCGUGGGGGCUAACGUAGGGAAACUUACGCUAAUACCGCAUACGACCUACGGGUGACAGCAGGGGAUCUUCGGACCUUGCGCGAUUGAAUGAGCCGAUGUCGGAUUAGCUAGUUGGCGGGGUAAAGGCACACGAAGGCGACGCUCGGUAGCUGGUCUGAGAGGAUCAACAGGCACACUGGAAGAGAGACACGGCCCAGACACCUGCGCGAAGCAACAGUGGGGAAUAUUGGACAAGGGGGGCGAGCCUGAUCCAGCCCUACCGCGUGAGUGAAGACGGCGUUCGGGUUGUAAAGCCCUUUUGUUGGGAAAGAAAAGCAGCAGUUUAAUACCCCGCUGUUCUGACGGUACCCGAAGAAUAAGCACCGGCUAACUUCGUG
rnacentral:rRNA from 1 species